CCAUCGUGGUGGAGCCGGGCUGCAGAGCUAUGGGGCGCUAUGGGGCACUUUAGGGCUCUAUGAGGCUCUAUGGGGCACGCUAUGGGGCUCUAUGGGGCACUAUGGGGCUAUGGGGCUCUGUGGGGCUCUAUGGGGGGCUCUAUGGGGCGCUAUGGGGCACGCUAUGGGGCGCUCUAUGGGUCACGCUGCCCCCCCAGCACCAUCGUGGUGGAGCCGGGCUGCAGAGCUGUGGGGCGCUAUGGGGCACUUUAGGGCUCUAUGGGGCGCUAUGGGGCACUAUGAGGCUGUAUGGGGCGCUAUGAGGCACUUAAGGGCUCUAUGGGGUGCUAUGUGGCUCUAUGGGGAGCUAUGGGGCGCUGUGGUGCGCUAUGGGGCACUAUGGGGCGCUAUGGGGCACUUUAGGGCUCUAUGAGGCUCUAUGGGGCACUAUGAGGCUCUAUGGGGCUCUAUGGGGCACUAUGGGGCUCUAUGGGGCUCUGUGUGCGGCUCUAUGGGAUGCUAUGGGGCACUUUAGGGCUCUAUGGGGCGCUAUGGGGCACGCUAUGGGGCGCUCUAUGGGGCACGCUGCCCCCCCAGCACCAUCGUGGUGGAGCCGGGCUGCGAGGCGCGGCUGACGUCGCUGGGUGACAUCCGCAUCGCCGUGGGGAGCGCUCCCCCCCGCGCCGUGGGGCCCGACCUCGACCCCGUGC
rnacentral:lncRNA from 1 species